UGCCAAGUAUGUGCCCCGCUCCCU
rnacentral:misc_RNA from 1 species